UUUAGCUUGAGUAUGAGUUGAUAAUGCCUUGCUGAAAUAUGUGAUGGGCCUAUGAUCCUGCAUUAGAACUGCCCCAAUUUUGGUUCCUGAAGCAUCACAUUCAAUAACAAAAUGUUUUUGUGAAAUCUGGAAGUGUCAAAACAGGCGAAGAGGUAAGAAGAGCUUGUAGUAACUCAUAGGCAUGUUGAGCUUGAGUGUUCCAGAUCAACUUCCCUUAUGUUUCCUAUGUUCCAGACCAACUUCCCCUGCGUUUCCUUCUUCAGCAAUUGUGUUAAUAGUUGAGCUAAGGACCCGUAUCCUUUUAUAAACUGUGGGUAAUAUCCGGUGAGGCCAAGGAAAUCAUGUACCGCUUUCAAGGUUCUUGGCUAAGGCCAUUUAACAAUUGCACUGAUUUUGGAAGGAUCCAUUUGAACUCCCCGGAUUGAUAUUACAUGCCCCAAGUACUCAAUUGUUCUGUGGCCCAGUGCACUCUUUUUCUUGUUAACCAGAAAUUGAUUUUUGUGCAACAACUCCAGAACAGUUGUCAAGUGCCAUAAAUGAUCCUUCCAUGUCUUGCUGUAUACCAAAAUAUCGUCAAAAAAUACGACAAAUUGUUGAAGAUGGGGCCGAAAGAGAUUAUUCGUAGUCGCUUCUAUAACGAUGCGUGAGUUCCAUAGUGAAUUGAUCCCAUGUCAUAGA
rnacentral:misc_RNA from 1 species